rnacentral:rRNA from 1 species
UGGGGAAUAUUGCACAAUGGGGGAAACCCUGAUGCAGCAACGCCGCGUGAAGGAAGACGGUUUUCGGAUUGUAAACUUCUAUCAAUAGGGACGAAGGAAAUGACGGUACCUAAAUAAGAAGCCCCGGCUAACUACGUGCCAGCAGCCGCGGUAAAACGUAGGUGGCAAGCGUUGUCCGGAAUUACUGGGUGUAAAGGGAGCGCAGGCGGACUAGCAAGUUGGAAGUGAAAUCUAUGGGCUCAACCCAUAAAUUGCUUUCAAAACUGCCGGUCUUGAGUAGUGCAGAGGUAGGCGGAAUUCCCGGUGUAGCGGUGGAAUGCGUAGAUAUCGGGAGGAACACCAGUGGCGAAGGCGGCCUACUGGGCACCAACUGACGCUGAGGCUCGAAAGUAUGGGUAGCAAACAGGAUUAGAUACC